rnacentral:rRNA from 1 species
AUUGAACGCUGGCGGCAGGCCUAACACAUGCAAGUCGAGCGAGCGGCGGACGGGUGAGUAAUGUAUGGGGACUGCCCGAUAGAGGGGGAUAACUACUGGAAACGGUAGCUAAUACCGCAUACUAUCGGAUAACCCAUAUGGGAUUAGCUAGUAGGUGAGGUAAUGGCUCACCUAGGCGACAAUCCCUAGCUGGUCUGAGUGGAUGAUCAGGCACACUGGGACUGAGACACGACCCAUGCUCCUACGGAGGCAGCGAUGGGGAAUAUUGCACAAUGGGCUCAAGCCGGAUGCAGCCAUGGCGCGUGUAUGAAGAAGGCCCAAGGGUUGUAAAGUACUUUCAGUCGGGAGGCGUUACCGACAGAAGAAGCACCAGCGAACUCCGUGCCAGCAGCCGCGGUAAUAC